AUUGAACGCUGGCGGCAGGCUUAACACAUGCAAGUCGAGCGGGGUGAUGGUGCUUGCACUAUCACUUAGCGGCGGACGGGUGAGUAAUGCUUAGGAAUCUACCUAUUAGUGGGGGACAACAUCUCGAAAGGGAUGCUAAUACCGCAUACGUCCUACGGGAGAAAGCAGGGGAUCACUUGUGACCUUGCGCUAAUAGAUGAGCCUAAGUCGGAUUAGCUAGUUGGUGGGGUAAAGGCCUACCAAGGCGACGAUCUGUAGCGGGUCUGAGAGGAUGAUCCGCCACACAGGGACUGAGACACGGCCCAGACUCCUACGGGAGGCAGCAGUGGGGAAUAUUGGACAAUGGGGGGAACCCUGAUCCAGCCAUGCCGCGUGUGUGAAGAAGGCCUUAUGGUUGUAAAGCACUUUAAGCGAGGAGGAGGCUCUUUUGGUUAAUACCCAAGAUGAGUGGACGUUACUCGCAGAAUAAGCACCGGCUAACUCUGUGCCAGCCGCCGCGGUAAUAC
rnacentral:rRNA from 1 species